rnacentral:rRNA from 1 species
AUGACUAGGGAUAACCUUAGGAAGAGACACAUCAUCAAACCCCUUGGUUGUGUUUACUGCUUGGAAUAAGAGUCUUGUUCUCACCUAUUUUUUGAAUGUAUAGUUGCUAAACAUCUCUGGGCCCACAUUGAGGAAUAUUUCUCUAGUCAGAUUGGCUCAUCCUUCGAAUCUGUUGCUAGAUUCUGGAUUGCUACCAAAAAGUGCUCAGUUUUAAAUACUGUUAGCUCAGCUGUCCUUUGGUGCCUCUGGAAAUAUAGAAAAGCUAUGAUUUUCAAUAACACCUCCUGGAUUUCCAUUCCGCAGAUCUUGAGGUUGAUCAGGAACAUGGUCAGGAACUGGGCGAUUCUCUCCUCCGGAUCGGACAAGGACACGUUGAUGAGCUUCGUGAAAACCCUAACAAGAUCCCUCCAAAAACUGUUGGCGAUCACUUGUGGCUGA